rnacentral:rRNA from 1 species
AGAGUUUGAUUCUGGCUCAGGAUGAACGCCGGCGGUGUGCCUAAUACAUGCAAGUCGUACGCACUGGCCCAACUGAUUGAUGGUGCUUGCACCUGAUUGACGAUGGAUCACCAGUGAGUGGCGGACGGGUGAGUAACACGUAGGUAACCUGCCUCGGAGCGGGGGAUAACAUUUGGAAACAGAUGCUAAUACCGCAUAACAACAAAAGCCACAUGGCUUUUGUUUGAAAGAUGGCUUUGGCUAUCACUCUGGGAUGGACCUGCGGUGCAUUAGCUAGUUGGUAAGGUAACGGCUUACCAAGGCAAUGAUGCAUAGCCGAGUUGAGAGACUGAUCGGCCACAAUGGAACUGAGACACGGUCCUUACUCCUACGGGAGGCAGCAGUAGGGAAUCUUCCACAAUGGGCGCAAGCCUGAUGGAGCAACACCGCGUGAGUGAAGAAGGGUUUCGGCUCGUAAAGCUCUGUUGUUGGAGAAGAACGUGCGUGAGAGUAACUGUUCACGCAGUGACGGUAUCCAACCAGAAAGUCACGGCUAACUACGUGCCAGCAGCCGCGGUAAUACGUAGGUGGCAAGCGUUAUCCGGAUUUAUUGGGCGUAAAGCGAGCGCAGGCGGUUGCUUAGGUCUGAUGUGAAAGCCUUCGGCUUAACCGAAGAAGUGCAUCGGAAACCGGGCGACUUGAGUGCAGAAGAGGACAGUGGAACUCCAUGUGUAGCGGUGGAAUGCGUAGAUAUAUGGAAGAACACCAGUGGCGAAGGCGGCUGUCUGGUCUGCAACUGACGCUGAGGCUCGAAAGCAUGGGUAGCGAACAGGAUUAGAUACCCUGGUAGUCCAUGCCGUAAACGAUGAGUGCUAGGUGUUGGAGGGUUUCCGCCCUUCAGUGCCGGAGCUAACGCAUUAAGCACUCUGCCUGGGGAGUACGACCGCAAGGUUGAAACUCAAAGGAAUUGACGGGGGCCCGCACAAGCGGUGGAGCAUGUGGUUUAAUUCGAAGCUACGCGAAGAACCUUACCAGGUCUUGACAUCCAGUGCAAACCUAAGAGAUUAGGUGUUCCCUUCGGGGACGCUGAGACAGGUGGUGCAUGGCUGUCGUCAGCUCGUGUCGUGAGAUGUUGGGUUAAGUCCCGCAACGAGCGCAACCCUUGUCAUUAGUUGCCAUCAUUAAGUUGGGCACUCUAAUGAGACUGCCGGUGACAAACCGGAGGAAGGUGGGGAUGACGUCAAGUCAUCAUGCCCCUUAUGACCUGGGCUACACACGUGCUACAAUGGACGGUACAACGAGAAGCGAACCUGCGAAGGCAAGCGGAUCUCUUAAAGCCGUUCUCAGUUCAGACUGUAGGCUGCAACUCGCCUACACGAAGCUGGAAUCGCUAGUAAUCGCGGAUCAGCACGCCGCGGUGAAUACGUUCCCGGGCCUUGUACUCACCGCCCGUCA